CAAGGGGAGCGCAGGUACAAAAGGCUGCUGGCCUGCUCAGAAGGGGCAGACUGCAGCCCGAGCUGGAGCUAGCGUCCAACUGCCAGAGAGGGAGUCGCCAGGAGGGCUGAACGUGCCACUGCCGAGCCUGAGCCGGGCUCGGCCCCAACGCCACAGCCACCAACUGACCCCCCCAUGACCCGAGUGCCGGACCGGACACUGCCAACUCCAACGCUGACCGGGGAAGUACCAGUACAGCCAUCCGAGCAACGCCGACAGGUUAUGGGAGAUCACUUUUAUGGCAUUUUUUGAAGACUCAUUGCCAAAGAACAACUAUCACUGACCCUCAAGAGACAAGACAAAUAGCACUUCAGGGACUACAACUUAAAAGCCAGAUACGGCUUGAUUCCUCAUUAUCUAGUAGAAUGAGCCGUGAAAAGAGUUGGCUCUCCUGCAGACAUUCCAUACUGACACUGGCUCAAGGACAAUGGAGUGAGGUGACCUGAAUCUCGGACUGCUGAACUGUUCCACAGGUGGUAGGAAGAAUCAAAUAAAGUUUUCCACCUGUUUGCAGCUGGCUUUACCUCUGCCUCCCCACCCUAAAGGGAUACCUGAAAACACAUGGAAACAAAGAUACUGUAACUAGAAAGAUUGGGGAAGAACUGCUGGACCCAAGCCAGAAAGGACACCUCUGGUCUGUAAAUAAUAUCAGAAAUUAUUAUUUGUAACCAGGUUUUUUUUAGUGAAUCUAGCUUAAAUUGUGUGCUUUGCAUUAAUUUCUUAGUAAUCGUUUUUGUUCUGUUUGCUACUUUUUUGUUCACUUAAAAUACAUCUUUUCAUAGUUAAUACACUGAUUUUUAGUUCAUAAUAUAACCCAAUUUUUG